GGGGGGCCCAACUGCUGAGUAAACAGGGCUUUAUAAUCUCUCCUCCCAUGGGCUGGUUUACUAAAUAGAUCAAUAUUUGGUUUGUAGGCACAGAGAUUAGGAGGUGGAAAUGUCUUUUGAAAAAGCCCAAUCUCUUCCCAGGGCCCUGAGUGCACCUGAGAAUGCUGAAAAGAAAAGCCAAGUUCACGGACAAAAAAAGAAUCACCCAAGCUGCUUUCACCUGCCUGUGAUUUCCCAAGAAGCCAGUUUGUCUUUAAGAAGUGAGACCCAUUUGAGAAUGAGUAAUGUCUUAGGCUCUUUAGUCUAAUGCUUAGAGAAUUCCACUUUCUUCUUUCGCUCGGCCUCCCCCUGAGCUCCCCUUUCUCUGUCCCCAACUCCAUUUUAUUUAAUCUUUCUAAAUGGAUAUUGUAGCCUCAGGGACUAAAAGAAUGACACAUGGAUAAACAGGAACUAAGCUCCUAAGCUUUUCACCUACCUGCCAUCUUCCUCACCACGCAUGAGGAUUAGAAGCGUCACAAAGAAAGCAGUCUCGGAAGUUUGUCAAAUAGAGAUUUCUGGGUGAUGGUUUGGGAAAGGAUGAUUUAGAUCGUGCCUCUCCUGGGUGAGGAAAGUGACUGAAACACAUAACAGCAGAGAACUUGAAGUGCUGGUUUGAGCUUCAGGAGAUGUGAGUUCUAGCCCCAGUGCUGCCUGUGAUUUUCUCUGUGACCUGGGACAAGUCCCUUGUGGAUACGACAGGAUGUGCGGGCUACAAGGAUCUCUGAGACUUCUCCCAGGGAGUUUCUGCAACCAGAUUUCCAGUGAGAUGAAUUAAUCAGCU
rnacentral:lncRNA from 1 species